CAAGACAGAAGACCAUAAACAACUUCUCCAAUCUGGGCAGCAGCAAGCAGGUCCAGUCCGGAGAUCCUGCCGAGAACCGGCUGGAAAACCAAGAUGUGAUUCCAGACAUCUGGUCAUCACUGCUGUGUGAAGACCAGUGAAGAGAAGAAGUUACAAGGCUCUCUACCGCAGCGCCAUCUACCGCAGCGCCCUCUACCGCAGGGCUCUCUACCGCAGGGCUCUCUACCGCAGGGCUCUCUACCGCAGCACCAUCUACCGCAGCGCCCUCUACCGCAGGGCUCUCUACCGCAGCGCCCUCUAC